AUGCCUAGUACGGCGAGUGAGCGGCAACAGCUCAAAUUUGAAAGCUGGCUCCGGCCCGCAUUGUAAUUUGCAGAGGAUGCUUUUGGCGAGGUGCCUUCCGAGUUCCCUGGAACGGGACGCCAUAGAGGGUGAGAGCCCCGUAUGGAUGGACACCAAACCUGUGUAAAGCUCCUUCAACGAGUCGAGUAGUUUGGGAAUGCUGCUCUAAAUGGGAGGUAAAUCUCUUCUAAAGCUAAAUACCGGCCAGAGACCGAUAGCGCACAAGUAGAGUGAUCGAAAGAUGAAAAGCACCUUGAAAAGGGGGUUAAACAGUACGUGAAAUUGUUGAAAGGGAAGCAUUUAUGACCAGACUUGCGCCGGGCAGCUCAUCAGGGGUUCUCCCCUGUGCACUCUGCCCGGCUCAGGCCAGCAUCGGUUCUCGUGGGAGGAUAAGAACAGUGGGAACGUGGCCCCCCUCCGGGGGGGUGUUAUAGCCCAUUGUACGAUACUCUCGUGGGGACCGAGGUUCGCGCUCCGCAAGGAUGCUGGCGUAAUGGUCAUCAAUGACCCGUCUUGA
rnacentral:rRNA from 1 species